CAAUAGCGUAUAUUUAAGUUGCUGCAGUUAAAAAGCUCGUAGUUGGAUUUCGGGUGGGAAUGGCCGGUCCGCCGUUUCGGUGUGCACUUGCUACGCCCACCUUGCUGCCGGGGACGUGCUCUUGAGUUCACGCUCGGGACACGGAGUCGGCGAGGUUACUUUGAGUAAAUUAGAGUGUUCAAAGCAGGCCUACGCUCUGAAUACAUUAGCAUGGAAUAACACGAUAGGACUCUGGCCUAUCUUGUAGGUCUGUAGGACCGGAGUAAUGAUUAAGAGGGACAGUCGGGGGCAUUCGUAUUUCAUUGUCAGAGGUGAAAUUCUUGGAUUUAUGAAAGACGAACUACUGCGAAAGCAUUUGCCAAGGAUGUUUUCAUUAA
rnacentral:rRNA from 1 species